rnacentral:rRNA from 1 species
UAGGGAAUCUUCCGCAAUGGGCGAAAGCCUGACGGAGCAACGCCGCGUGAGUGAUGAAGGUCUUCGGAUCGUAAAACUCUGUUAUUAGGGAAGAGCAAAUGUGUAAGUAACUAUGCACGUCUUGACGGUACCUAAUCAGAAAGCCACGGCUAACUACGUGCCAGCAGCCGCGGUAAUACGUAGGUGGCAAGCGUUAUCCGGAAUUAUUGGGCGUAAAGCGCGCGUAGGCGGUUUUUUAAGUCUGAUGUGAAAGCCCACGGCUCAACCGUGGAGGGUCAUUGGAAACUGGUAAACUUGAGUGCAGAAGAGGAAAGUGGAAUUCCAUGUGUAGCGGUGAAAUGCGCAGAGAUAUGGAGGAACACCAGUGGGGAAGGCGACUUUGUGGUCUGUAACUGACGCUAAUGUGCGAAAGCGUGGGGAUCAAACAGG